AAUUUACAUUUUUAAGUUAAAGCAGCACUAAGUAACUUUUGUCGCUCUAGCGGUUAAUAAACAGAACUGCACACAUCCCGCGGAAGAACAUUCCAACCGGAGCUACUUCUCUAAGUUUAUGUCUAUGGCGAUUCACGCAGGUAUGUGUUCCUCCGCAGCGGUGAUGACUCGACCAGGCUACAAUAGUCCAAAUAUAAGUACUUAUUAUAAGUGUAGCGUAG